rnacentral:ncRNA from 1 species
ACCAUCACAAAGGGGAGCAUUAGCUGAGAUUGAGAGAGUACUCUAAACCCUAGAACCUGAUAUUGUUAGUACAAGCGGAGGAAUUGUGAGUGAUACAGCC